GGCCAGGCUUUCGGGAACCCCGGUACAGGCAGGCCGGGACUUCCCUCUUUAAUACCCGGCCCAUCCCGCGCAUCGCGACGGGCCACGCUUUUGGGGACCCUGGUACAGGCAGGCCGGGAAUCCCCUUCUUUACACCGGGACUCAUCGCCCUCGUGGCGCUCAGCCCCUCCCGCUUUUGGGGGCCUUGGUACAGGCAGGCCGGGGUUUCCCUCUUUUAUUCCUCCC
rnacentral:ncRNA from 1 species